UUAAGUUAGAAAGGGCGCACGGUGGAUGCCUUGACACUAGGAGUCGAUGAAGGACGGGACUAACGCCGAUAUGCUUCGGGGAGCUGUAAGUAAGCUUUGAUCCGAAGAUUUCCGAAUGGGGAAACCCACCAUACGUAAUGGUAUGGUAUCCUUAUCUGAAUACAUAGGGUAAGGAAGACAGACCCAGGGAACUGAAACAUCUAAGUACCUGGAGGAAGAGAAAGCAAAUGCGAUUUCCUGAGUAGCGGCGAGCGAAACGGAACAUAGCCCAAACCAAGAGGCUUGCCUCUUGGGGUUGUAGGACAUUCUAUACGGAGUUACAAAGGAACGAGGUAGACGAAGCGACCUGGAAAGGUCCGUCGUAGAGGGUAACAACCCCGUAGUCGAAACUUCGUUCUCUCUUGAAUGUAUCCUGAGUACGGCGGAACACGUGAAAUUCCGUCGGAAUCUGGGAGGACCAUCUCCCAAGGCUAAAUACUCCCUAGUGAUCGAUAGUGAACCAGUACCGUGAGGGAAAGGUGAAAAGCACCCCGGAAGGGGAGUGAAAGAGAUCCUGAAACCGUGUGCCUACAAAUAGUCAGAGCCCGUUAACGGGUGAUGGCGUGCCUUUUGUAGAAUGAACCGGCGAGUUACGAUCCCGUGCGAGGUUAAGCUGAAGAGGCGGAGCCGCAGCGAAAGCGAGUCUGAAUAGGGCGUUUAGUACGUGGUCGUAGACCCGAAACCAGGUGAUCUACCCAUGUCCAGGGUGAAGUUCAGGUAACACUGAAUGGAGGCCCGAACCCACGCACGUUGAAAAGUGCGGGGAUGAGGUGUGGGUAGCGGAGAAAUUCCAAUCGAACCUGGAGAUAGCUGGUUCUCCCCGAAAUAGCUUUAGGGCUAGCCUUAAGUGUAAGAGUCUUGGAGGUAGAGCACUGAUUGGACUAGGGGUCCUCAUCGGAUUACCGAAUUCAGUCAAACUCCGAAUGCCAAUGACUUAUCCUUAGGAGUCAGACUGCGAGUGAUAAGAUCCGUAGUCAAAAGGGAAACAGCCCAGACCGCCAGCUAAGGUCCCAAAGUGUGUAUUAAGUGGAAAAGGAUGUGGAGUUGCUUAGACAACUAGGAUGUUGGCUUAGAAGCAGCCACCAUUUAAAGAGUGCGUAAUAGCUCACUAGUCGAGUGACUCUGCGCCGAAAAUGUACCGGGGCUAAAUACACCACCGAAGCUGCGGAUUGAUACCGAAUGGUAUCAGUGGUAGGGGAGCGUUCUAAGGACAGUGAAGUCAGACCGGAAGGACUGGUGGAGUGCUUAGAAGUGAGAAUGCCGGUAUGAGUAGCGAAAGACGGGUGAGAAUCCCGUCCACCGAAUGCCUAAGGUUUCCUGAGGAAGGCUCGUCCGCUCAGGGUUAGUCAGGACCUAAGCCGAGGCCGACAGGCGUAGGCGAUGGACAACAGGUUGAUAUUCCUGUACCACCUCUUUAUCGUUUGAGCAAUGGAGGGACGCAGAAGGAUAGAAGAAGCGUGCGAUUGGUUGUGCACGUCCAAGCAGUUAGGCUGAUAAGUAGGCAAAUCCGCUUAUCGUAAAGGCUGAGCUGUGAUGGGGAAGCUCCUUAUGGAGCGAAGUCUUUGAUUCCCCGCUGCCAAGAAAAGCUUCUAGCGAGAUAAAAGGUGCCUGUACCGCAAACCGACACAGGUAGGCGAGGAGAGAAUCCUAAGGUGUGCGAGAGAACUCUGGUUAAGGAACUCGGCAAAAUGACCCCGUAACUUCGGGAGAAGGGGUGCUUUCUUAACGGAAAGCCGCAGUGAAUAGGCCCAAGCGACUGUUUAGCAAAAACACAGCUCUCUGCGAAGCCGUAAGGCGAAGUAUAGGGGGUGACACCUGCCCGGUGCUGGAAGGUUAAGGAGAGGGGUUAGCGUAAGCGAAGCUCUGAACUGAAGCCCCAGUAAACGGCGGCCGUAACUAUAACGGUCCUAAGGUAGCGAAAUUCCUUGUCGGGUAAGUUCCGACCCGCACGAAAGGUGUAACGAUUUGGGCACUGUCUCAACCAGAGACUCGGUGAAAUUAUAGUACCUGUGAAGAUGCAGGUUACCCGCGACAGGACGGAAAGACCCCGUGGAGCUUUACUGUAGCCUGAUAUUGAAUUUUGGUACAGUUUGUACAGGAUAGGCGGGAGCCUUUGAAACCGGAGCGCUAGCUUCGGUGGAGGCGCUGGUGGGAUACCGCCCUGACUGUAUUGAAAUUCUAACCUACGGGUCUUAUCGACCCGGGAGACAGUGUCAGGUGGGCAGUUUGACUGGGGCGGUCGCCUCCUAAAGUGUAACGGAGGCGCCCAAAGGUUCCCUCAGAAUGGUUGGAAAUCAUUCGUAGAGUGCAAAGGCAUAAGGGAGCUUGACUGCGAGACCUACAAGUCGAGCAGGGACGAAAGUCGGGCUUAGUGAUCCGGUGGUUCCGCAUGGAAGGGCCAUCGCUCAACGGAUAAAAGCUACCCCGGGGAUAACAGGCUUAUCUCCCCCAAGAGUCCACAUCGACGGGGAGGUUUGGCACCUCGAUGUCGGCUCAUCGCAUCCUGGGGCUGUAGUCGGUCCCAAGGGUUGGGCUGUUCGCCCAUUAAAGCGGUACGCGAGCUGGGUUCAGAACGUCGUGAGACAGUUCGGUCCCUAUCCGUCGUGGGCGUAGGAAAUUUGAGAGGAGCUGUCCUUAGUACGAGAGGACCGGGAUGGACGCACCGCUGGUGUACCAGUUGUUCUGCCAAGGGCAUAGCUGGGUAGCUAUGUGCGGAAGGGAUAAGUGCUGAAAGCAUCUAAGCAUGAAGCCCCCCUCAAGAUGAGAUUUCCCAUAGCGUAAGCUAGUAAGAUCCCUGAAAGAUGAUCAGGUUGAUAGGUUCGAGGUGGAAGCAUGGUGACAUGUGGAGCUGACGAAUACUAAUAGAUCGAGGACUUAACCA
rnacentral:rRNA from 2 species